rnacentral:lncRNA from 1 species
UGUAUAAUCCUUGAUUCUAAAGGGUAAUAUAAUAACUAUUUGCCUUUCAUUUAGGCUGAUUGUGAGUCAAGUCUGUAUCUGCUGAGGAAGUUAAGUGAUGCACCCUCUAAUUAAGCCCCUGCAGCACUUUCCUCCUACAUAAAUGGGCUGGUGGGUUCCUGGUUGUUCCUGUGGCCACCAGUGCAGCUGAGGGACCCAUCUGAGUGACAGAUCUCUGUGGGAGAUCCCACCUUUAAUCCCUGCCAUCAGACUCUGCUGUCGUGACUGUGACUCUGCAUGGGAAGAGCCAAUUCUCCAGGAACACAAUUUAUUUCAGUGAU